rfam:Lingula anatina scaffold321, whole genome shotgun sequence.
GCUCCGGUGGCACAAUCGGUUAGCGCGCCGUACUUAUAAACAGUACUCCGCCCUGAUAACAGGGUUGAGGCAUGCGGAGGUUGUGAGUUCGAUCCUCACCCGGAGCA